rnacentral:lncRNA from 1 species
UACAUUUACCUUUUUUCACAUUUAGUUUGCCUUAAUGUCCCUUGCAACAAAAUGACGAAUCCACUGGGAUCUUGUUAAGGGCUAAGGUUUAUUUGUUUAUUUUCUAAUGAUAAUGUGCUUGAUGAGCUUUAAUAUAUGCUUUGAAUGUUUGUUUACCUAAACUGAUUAAUGUGUGGUUAUUGUUUGGUAUCGUUUCAUGUUUAUUUUAAAUUUUUUAAAUUGUUUCUUGUAUGCCUAAAUUUAAUGCAUUGUUCCUUUAAAUUGGUUUGUUUAGAUUGGAUAUGGAGUUGUGCCAAUGCACACACAACUCAACACUUAUAUUUUGCACAAACAUUGCUUGAGGUUAGGAUGAGGAAGUGGUGAUGCCUCAAUGGUCUUUGACCUGGGAAACACUCAUUAAACAACCAAAAAUCUUAUGGAUAGUCUACUUGGUUGUGAUGAGUAUCCAAUGUGAUAUUGUCCCGAUCUAUAUUUUUUACAGCCUCGAUUCAGUUCAUUGAGAUUGUUAACUAAACAAUGGGGGACCUUUAGAAACCGAUUUAGUUAGUUAACCUACCCAUCUAGAACAUGAUGUUUCCCUAUGUUAUCAUUACUUCACCUAAUCGAUCAUUUUUUUUAUUUUUAUGAAUAUUUGUAUAUACAAAAGUUAGUUUUGAGUUCUUAUAAAAAAAAUGGGGAAAGAAAUACAAGUUGUAUUUUGAAAGCUCAAUUUCCCUAUAGUAUGUUAUUUUCCUUUCUAAAAACCAAGUACCUUAAGCACCUCUACCCGUUUUUCAACCUAGAUAUCAUGCUUUUUAAAACAUAGAAAUUCUAAACCAUAAAAAGAAGCCCUAUGAACCAUCUGCUUUUCCAGUUUCCCUCAUUAACAUCUAUCAACAUCUUGUGAAUAUGCACCAGAUAUAUCCUCAAUGGUUCAAACUCGUUCAACCAUAUUUUCUUAAAUGGUAUAACAAUAGUGUUAAGUAUGAGUACCAUGCAGGAGCUGUUGGUCAUUCCAUUGACCACUAUCAAGGUUUCAGGAAGCAAAUCGACAAGUUAAUUCAACAUAGCUGAUUAUCAUUUCAAGAGAAAAUGGUGUACUCAUUAUAGCUAUAAAGAAGCGCAAGGCCAAUGAAAUAUGCCAUGUGCCAAAUGUUGGCCUUUCUAGAAUAUUUAAAGUUCUCAAGUUUGUUAAGUAUAUAGGAGCUCAAUAUCUAGAGACCCACCUCAAAGUGUACUAUCGUAAAAUGGCUAAAUUUAUUAAUGAUGAGAAACUUUUGAUCAAUUAUUUAUAUUUAAGUCUGGUUGGACCUGCUCUUAACUGGUCUAUAAGGUUGAAUGACUCUAAAAUAAUGAAAAUUAAUCCAUGUGCCAAAUAUUGUUUUUUUUUUUAAAUUAAGUUCUCAAGUUUGUCAAGUAUAUAAGAGCAAUGUCCAGAUACCCAUCUUAAAGUGCAUUACAGUAAAAUGGUUGAAGUUAUUCAUGAUGAGAAACUUUUGAUCAAUUAUUCUGGUGCAAGUUUGAUUAGACUUGCUUUUAGUUGGUCUAUGGGGAUAGAUGACUCUAAAAUAAAGAAAUGAGAAUAUUUGGCUAACAUCUUUUUGAAAUAUUUUGGUAUUAACUUGAAGGUGACUCCAACUAGGUCUAGCUUUCAAAGAACUUUGGAAAAUUAAAGACAACAUCAAUAAUAAAACACGAGGUAUAAUUUGAAAAAUUAUGAUCGUAGUGAGAUUAAUCAUUAAUAUGACCAAAUCAAUGUGACAAACUUAUAAGAUCUCCACAUAUAAUUAAUGAUCAUAUAUUUUUGAACCCUUAAAUACCUUUUGAGCCUUAUAGAUAUCUUAUUCUUUUACAAACACAAGCUUCAACCUACAUUACAUGCUUAUAAAAGCCUUUUAUGAUUAAAAAAAAAAUAAUUUGAUUUUGUUGAUAAGUUUUAGCCUCCAAAAAGAAGAAAAAUGUUUUUCAAGCAAAAUCAUGAAUUAAGCAAAAUCAUGAAUUGUUUAUGUGUUGCAUAUCAUUCUUAUGAAAUUAAAUCAUGAGUUUUCACCAAUAAAUAGGCAAGAUCAAUACAACGUGAAGCAAGAUACCUUUUGAUAAGAUAAAAAAUCUCUUUAAAACCAACCCUUCUUUAUAAAAUAACCCUUAAUUUAUUACUAAAGAAUCAAUUUGAGCUAUUCAUAUUUCAAAACAUAGCCAAAUUUUUCGGAUAACCAUUUUUUUCAUAAUCUCAACCAACACCCAUUUCUUUAUAUACCUAGCAAAAAAAUAUAAAAUUGUCUCAUAGCAUUUGAAUGACAUGUUUAGGGUUUACAAACAAAGAAAUAAAUGUCCAUUUGAUUAAAUAUUUUCAAAUUUAUAACUCAAUGCUUUUAAAAUCAAUCCUGAGACAUAUAUAUGAAUGUAAUCAUUAAAGUUUAUGGCCUACUCCUGAAACAUAAAAGAUGAUUUCUUGAAAGAAAAAAAGAAGAAUUCUCAUUGAUUGGGUUUGCAAAGUUCUGUGAUGAUGAUGAUGAUUAUGAUGGUGCAUACAUGCUUUUGACAACCGUUGGAAAGAUGAUAAGAUCUAGAUUAGUCGGGGGCAAUUCUAUUUAAAGAAACAUUUUGCAAUGACAAUAGUCAAAUAAUGACAUGAAGAAUUUCAUAAUAAACCUUGAGUGGUAGAGGAAACAACUUUAUCAUGAUGGUGAUGAAAAAUAAGCAAUAAUGAACAAGUACCCUAGAUUAAACUUGGAGAUGAUGAUAAAUAGAACCAAUAUGGGAUAAGAUGAUGGAUGAAACAUGUCUAUCUAAUAAUCAAAAGUGGGUAAGAUGAGAAGACAAACCAGUAAUGAGCAUUGAAGACAUUUAAACAAUUCAAGUAAGCCAGUGACUGAUUGAAGACACUUCUAAAGCCAAAGAUUUUUUAAGAUACAGAUUAUGUAAAAACAAAAUAUUGAGCUUUCUACAAUUUGUGUUUUCCCAUUAAUUUCAAGAAUUUUUUUUUUACAUAAGAUCAGAAUAGCUUGUUAGUACAAGAUUGAUAUUAAAAAGAAAAAAAAAACAAUAGGAAAAUAACAAGAGCAAGUUAAGCUAUGCAAUCUGGACAUUUUCACCAAAUCAUGUGGCCAUGUAAGUCAAACCAAGCUCUACAAUAAUGAUUUUUUUUUUAUUUAUUUCAAAGUGAAACCCAUUAAUUUAAUGAAAAUUUUAUUUCAAAUAAAACACACCAAAUGACAAAUUUUCUUUCAAAUCUUUUUUUUUCCAAGUGAAGCCCAUUAACCCGAUGAAACUUUUCUCUCAAACAAAGCCUAUUAAUCCUAUGACAUUUUUAUUUCAAAAUGAAACUCAUUAAUCCAAUUGCACUUUCUUUCAAUCAAAACCCAUUGAUCCAAUGACAUUUUUAUUUCAAAGUGAAGCUAAUUAAUCUAAUGACACUUUAAUUUCAAACAAAACUCAUCAAUCUAAUGACAAUUUUUCAUUCAAUCAAAGCCUAUUAAUCAAAUGACAUUUUUAUUUUAAAAUGAAACUCAUUAAUCAAAUGACACUUUUAUUUUAGACAAAGCCCAUCAAUUCGAUGAAAAAUUUUCUUUCUAGUGGUUUUUUUUUCAAAGCAAAUCCGAUGGGAAAUUUUCUUUCAAAAGACAUUUUUAUUUCAAAAUGAAGCUCAUAAAUUCAAUGACAAAUUUUCUUUCAAAUGAUUUCAAGUAAAGCCCACCAACCUGAUUGCAAAUUUCUUUUAAAUAGCAUUUUUGUUUAAGCAUUAAUUCUUUUAUUUUGUUUACAAACUUAUUAUACAAAGUCAAAGAAAAAUAAUUUUUUUCUUGUCUUUGUACCGUAAGUAUUGUAAAGAGGGAGCAACUAUCAUAAAUCGAUUUUGACCCCUAUUUUGAUCAUAUUUUCAAAAUAAAUUUCUAAUAUAUAAAUAUUUCCAAAAAAAUAUAUUUUCGACAUGAUUUGGCCAAUGUUAGGCUAUUUCAUAAAUUUUUCAACCUUCAUGCUUGUCAUAUGCAUAUUGAUGAUUUUUUUUAUAUAUAAAAAAACUUGCAUUCGUAUGUGAGUGAGACUUGUUUAGGAUCAACAUUAUAUUUUUGGAUUCAUUAUUAUGUUGAACAUUGCAUGCUUUAAUUUGGGAUAGAUAAUAUCUUAUAAAGCAAGAUAUAGCAUACUUUUUUUCUUUAAGAUUAUUGAAGUACAUCUUUCCUUGUAAAAGUUGUAUGAGUUGUGUGAUUAUGCAUAAAAGACGAGUGUGAUGCUUUACUUGUGAUCAUCCCUUUUGAUCUAGUUCUAAACAUGGUUUAAGUAAAUAGAGUAAUAAUUAUUAGACAAUUAAAUAAAUAAAUGUGUACAAAGUUCUAUCUACAUCAAUGUUUUGAGUUGCUUAGUAACUAGGGGUAUUCAUCACAAAUGUUUAUCUUUACGUCAAACAGGAGCAUGAAAUAUGAGUAUGCAAAAGCACUUUAAGUUUGUGACUUUGUGAGUAACCAGGUGCAUUCAUCACAAAUGUUUGUGUUCGCGUCAAAAGGGAAGUGACCACUUAAAAACAUAAUAAAUAAUAUCUCCAAAAAAAAAGAAAGAAUAUAUAUAUAUAUAUAUAUAUAUAUAUAUAUAUAUAUAUAUAUAGUUUGCUACCUUGUUUGUAGUUGUGGGAAGGGAAGAUUACAAGUUGAGUUUUCGCGUGAAUCAAUUAUGUUGGUUGCAUGAUAAAUACGAUUGAAUUUGGAAUUUUGUAUGGAUAUUUGAUUUAGAGAAUGUGAGUAUGUUUAUUUUUCUUUAUUCGCUAUUGUGUAUACACUAAGUUGAAGAUACCAAUGUUUGCAUGAUAGGUCCUUCAAGUGUGAUGAGCCGAGCCUAAUUAUGGUUAUUAUUAUUCUUUUUAUUUCAAAUUUGCCUUAAAAAUCAAUUCUAUUCCAAUCCUAGAAAAGAUUAUCAUAUGAUCUAUUUCAAGCCCAAACUUGCCUUAUGUUGUGUGCAAACUUCAAUCAUCAAACACUCAAGGUUUCAAUAUCAAUCUCAGCCCAAAUAAUAGGUACAUUUGUAUCCUUAUAUGAUGCUUAAAUUCAGCCCCAAAUCAGCCCAAGCACAAUCCAUAAUCUUACAUGUCUACACAACAAAUAACAUUUGAUUUAUUUUGGGUAAUCCAUUGAUCCAAAAGGGUAAGCACAUGGAUUGAAAGCUAGAGGGGACAUUGUUACAAUAUUUUGGGUCAAAAAUAAGAAAGAGACAGCUCAUAAAAGAGGAAGAAAAACAUGCACCAAAGUGUUCUCCAAGCUGGCCUGAUUUGAUUUUCCAGAACACCUUUUGGUGUUGUGCCCAUAACUUUUGACUCAGAUGUCCAAAUUCUCUGUUAUUUAAUUAUCUCGAAAGCUGACAGACUAGCCUAUAAAUUUGUUUCUAAUAGACAUCUCCAUAGGAGGCUUCUAAGAGAGUCUAAUUUCUCCAAUAAAGCAUGAAAUUGUAGGAUAAUCAAGGUCUUUAUAUUUCAAAACAUUAUUGUUUUGAAGAAUGACACUUACUUGUUCGGCUAAAAAGGCUUUCUUUUUUACAUUCAGUUUUCUCUUCACGGUGCACAAGUCUUUCAUAAAUUUAGCAUAAUAAGGUACCUGUUUAAUAGCAUCCAACAAAGGUAUAUUGAUCCUUACCUGUUUGAAAGUUUCAAAGAUUUUUGAAUUGUGAUUGACUUUCCUUUGUUUGGUCAUGGCAUGAGAAAAUGGAAGUACUGGUGGGGAAUCAGUCUUUCUUUUUUUUGCAAUGUUCAGGUUCAACCCUUUCCUUACCCUCAAAGAGUAACUCAUCAUCUUUCUCACAAGGUUCAAGAAUAGGUUUUUCAAUAACUUUACCACUACGGACAGUAAUGACUGAUUUGACUUGAUCCAUGUGUUGGCUUCCAGAGCUACUCGCUCUUAAAUUGUAUUGCCCUUUGGGAUUUUGCUGAGGUUGAGAUGGAAACUUACCUUUCUCUUGAAAACUGAGAGUAGAUGUGAACUUUGUCAGAGUAUCUUUCAAAUCUGCCAUAGUUUGAGCAUUUUGAGUGUUGAUUGUCUCUUGCUUUUCAAUGAAUGCAUGCAAUAUUUCCUCAAGAUUUCAUCUAGGAGGGCGAAUACAAGGAGGUGCAUAUCCAUGAGAAUUUUGAAAAUUAUGGUGUGCUUGAAAUGGUGGCUGUGAAGUUUGUGCAUUAUUGUUACCAUUAUUCCAACUGAAAUUUAGGUGAUUUCUCCAACCAGGAUUAUAUGUUUAUGAGUAUGGAUUCUAAUUUGGCCUUUGGAAACUGUUUAAAGCAUUGCCUUGUUCAUGGAGACAUUCCUUGAAAGAAGGCAAAGUUGGACAAUCAUUGGUUGAGUGUUCAUUAGUUUCACAGAUUUGACAUACAAUUUCUUGAACAGAUUUCAAUUGACCACUCCUUUUCAAUUCUAGUGCCUUGACUUUUCUAGCUAAAGAUGCAAAUUUGGCUUGGAGGUCAUGAUCUUCUCUAAGGUUAUACAUACCUCCACUAGAUGUAUGAGGUUGAGAUUUACCUGGUGUCUCACAAGUACCUGUAGUGUCCUAAUUUUGAGCAUUUUCAGCUAUGGAUUCUAAUUUGGCCUUUGGAAACUGUUUAAAGCAUUGGCUUGUUCAUGGAGACAUUCCUUGAAAGAAGGCAAAGUUGGACAAUCAUUGGUUGAGUGUUCAUUAGUUUCACAGAUUUGACAUACAAUUUCUUGAACAGAUUUCAAUUGACCACUCCUUUUCAAUUCUAGUGCCUCGACUUUUCUAGCUAAAGAUGCAAAUUUGGCUUGGAGGUCAUGAUCUUCUCUAAGGUUAUACAUACCUCCACUAGAUGUAUGAGGUUGAGAUUUACCUGGUGUCUCACAAGUACCUGUAGUGUCCUAAUUUUGAGCAUUUUCAGCUAACAAGUCUAGGUACUUCAUUCCUUCAUCAGGGUCUUUAUCUUUAAAAGUUCCAUUGCAUAUUAAUUCCACCAUUUGCCUAUCUGUAGGUGUUAACCCUUUAUAAAAGUGUGAAAUCAAUCUCCAUGUUUCAAAACCAUAAUGAGGACAUGUAUUAAGCAAGUCUUUAUACUUAUCCCAAUACUGGUAAAAUGUUUCUCCUAGCUUGUGAGUGAAUGUGGUGAUUUGUCUUUUAAAAGAGUUUAUUCUAUGAGAAGGAAAAAACUUCUUUAGAAACUAUUGUUGCAUUUCAUCUCAAGCACGAAUGGAUUCUGACCUCAGGUUUUGUAGCCAUGUUUUAGCUUUAUCUUUUAAAGAAAAAGGGAAAAGCUUUAAUCCGAUGGUGUUCAUGCUACAGUUUGAGUCACUAUAAGUGUUACAAACUUCUUCAAAUUCUCUCAAAUGCAAGUAGGGAUUUUCUUGAUCUAAGCCAUAAAAAGUAGGUAAAAGUUGAAUAAUGCCUGGCUUAAAAUUGAAGUGAGAUGCAUCAGGAGGGAAAAUUAUACAUGAUGGUGCACUUGUUCUUGUAGGAUUCAUGUGGUCUCUAAGUGUCCUAACUCGAUUAUUCUCAUUAUUCUCAUUAUGAAGCGAUUAAUUAUUCUCUUCGCCAUGUUUUCUAAAAAUAAUGAAGAUUUCCUAGGAAGUCUACCACUUAAUGUGCAUGUCCAAACUCUCAUGCAAGUGCAGAAAGGGAAAAAAAAAACAAAAAUUAGAAAAACAUUAAAAGUGAAAAGAAAAAUAAAAUAAAAUAUAUAAUUUAUACAGUAACUUACCUCCCCGACAACGGUGCCAAAAACUUGACACGAUCAAAAGAUUGAUGUAUUAUCCCAAGUACAGGAGUGUCGAAGUAAUAAAUAAUCCGGCAAGACCGGGGUCGAACCACAUGGAGGUGAAAUAUAUAAAAUUACAAAUAAUAAAUGAAAAGGAGUUGAAGAAAACUUUUGAGAUGUGAUAUUGAUGUAAGGAUCAAACAAGGAUAAAACAAUUGUCAAGGUUAGAGGAUCCACUAAUGAUAUUUCAAACAAGUAUAAUAUAAACUCUUUUUAGUACUCAACUGGAAACCACACACAAAGGAGGUUCCAAUCGGUUUAUAAAUUAUUAACAUGAUUGUCACACGUGUGCGGCGUCACGGCGAUAAAUAUCCACUCUCAAUAUAUUUUAUUAUCUAUCUAUUUGGCAAAUAUGGGAAGACAAAGAAUUCUUGUCUCUUAUAUAUGGAAAGAAGGAAUGAGAAUUGCCACCUAGUAUUUUGGUCACUAGAAAUCCUAACUAGUCUCAGAGAUCGGGUACGGGGACUGGUUGCGUAAAGGGAAGGUAUUAGCACCCCAAAUACACCCUACCUAAGGUAAGCUGCAUUGUUUUAUUGUCUUAUAAAAUCUAAAGUCUUAUCGUGUUUUCUAGUUGUUGGUCCGUCUAUGGUUUAAGAAAAAUCCUCCUCGGUAAAGAGACUCUUAUCUUAUCGGGUAAAACCUAACCGUUCUAACAUCAACAAAAGAAUUUAAUAUCUGGAAUACGUCUUACGUAUAAGGUCGUAACCCCAGAAAAUAAAAUAAUUUAUUUUGGAAUUUUUGAAAUAUUGACCUAGUUCUCGUGACUUUAAUAAACUGGUUAUUAAAGCCAAAAUGCAUGCUAAUACAUAUUUUUGAAUUUGUUUUGUUGUAUGAAAAUAUAAUAUGAUUUUUUAUUUUUGAGACUUGGCCGUAUGCAUGAAAACAAAAAAAUAUUUUUUUUAUUUUUCAAUGUUUUGAUGAAAACUGGGUAUUUUAAUACCGGAUUUGUAUAUUUACGGUAUAAAAAUACAAACAAAUACUAAGCAAAAUUCAGUAGAAUAAAAAUUUAAUUUUUUUUAGGUGGGCCCAGCUCGAACCAUGUGGCUGGGCUGGACCCAGCAACUCAAACCCGGUCUCUGGCCCAAGCCAGUGACCCGAUUGGCUGAGACACAUGAAUUUGUUUCACGCGUGCAUUAACAGUGCAAAGGUAAUUAAAUUACAUUCGUAUAGUGUAUAUGCUCAUUUGUAGAUUUAAGAGAAUAUGAAGACGAACGCACCUGGUUUCUAGAAAAACUGAAGAUGAUGACAAUUCUGGUCUUUCAUUCUUUUUAUUAUUCUAGACUUUCUCUUUGGGUUUCUUCCUUUGCUUCUAUUUCUUUUGUUUUAUUCCCUUGCCUUUGGUUCUGAAGGUCAAGGGACAUCAACGAUGGAGGCUGGUUGUUGUUGGGUUUUUCUUGCUUCUGUUCGUUUGUUCCUCUGUAACCGUCUUCCUAUGCUGCCCAGUUCUCCUUCAUGUCUCCCUCCGUUUCUUUUUACUCUCCAUGUUCUCUUUUUCUCCCUCUAUGUCUCGUCUUUCUCCUUGGCGCUGGAACCUGCUGCUUGCAGUUGCAGAAGAAUAUGACAGUGUGGAAGGGUUGUUCCAACACUGCUUCCUCUCCUCGUUUUUUUUUUGUACUCUCUCCUUCCUUUCUUCACUUUGCCUCCCUGUUUUACUUUCUGCCUCUCUGUUUCUCGUCCUUAUCCUCUUCCCCCCUCUGUCUCGUCUUUCUUCGCGUGUUCCCCCCCACUUGCUCGGUCCUUCCUCUGGCUUUUAUAGCAAGAGGAUGCAGACGUUUCCGACAAUAACAAAGUAACGGUCGGCAUGCAUCAUGGUGGCGUGAAACAUGCCCCCAGAUUGAAGUGGCUCCAUUGCUAAGGGCUUCAUUGCAUUUACUGUCGAAACCAUCGCGGAUGAAGAAGGCGAUAAACAAUUGUCGAGGAAACAACGUCAUUUUCAAAUUCAAAAAAGAAUGUUUCUGAUUUGGUCUUUGGAUGUUUUUGCAAUUCCAGCAUCCUUUUAUCACUCCUAUUAUUUUUUUGGAUUCCUUCCGAAUAUAUAUUUUUUAAUAUGUAUUUUUUUUGUAUAUUUUUUUAUUUUUUAUGCAGGAACCCAAAAAUGGGUAACAACAAUGAUCAUAUUAAUUAUCUUAUUUAAGUGAUGUCAAUACUAGUAAAUGUUGUCAAGUAUUCAUAGUGAUAACUUAUGGUAACAACAAAUCAAAUUCCUUUCAUAGCAUAGGUGUCGGUUAUACUAUACAGCUGGCUAUGAAAGUUCCAAGUAUUUGUUGUACCAAGGGUUGUACAACACAAAUCAAGAUUAACCAUUUAACAAGCAAGGUAUUAAGAGUAAGUAAGAUAACAAAUGCAAAACAUGUUAUUAUCAAACAUUAAAGUCCAUGUUGAGUUUAUACUAUACAUAUUCUUACACCAUUAGUGUACCAUUUUCACAUUGACAAAAUAAACUUAGCUAAAUAUAAUGAAGAUGAGAAACAUAAAUAAACAAAAUAAAAACAUAAUAAUGAUAUACAUUAACUAAUUAAAGGAAAGGAAAUGAAAAGUAUAAACAAGAGAUUAAUAUAACAUGAAAUAAAACUUGAACAUUACAAAAUACGAAGAAAGAGAGCAAGAGCAAGAUCUUAAUCUGAAAACCAAGAUGUCUAAAUGUAUGGAAAAUGCCUUCUUUUAUAGGCUAAAAUUUAAAACUAUUGAUUUGAUGACUAAUUAUUGAGUGGGUGGCCACCUCUUGACUUGGUGACAACCAUUAUCUUCUUAUCUGAACAAAACAUCAUUGCUAAUAUCGUAAUUUGAAUAAGAAUAAGCUCAUUUGGACUUCUAGAACUCGAGAUAUGGGCUUACCAGUAUCUGGGCUAGAGGACAGGUUCCGACUUCUCUUUUGUUGCUACAAUUUGAACUUGAAAACGGUUGUUUUGAAUCUUGGAGUCUUCAUGAAAUUUUUAAGCCUAUGACUUAGAUUUCUAUCCAUAUAAACCAAGACCUAAAUCCAAGUUCUACAGCUCUAGUUAUGAUCCAAUAACCGAAUGGUUUUCCAGUUUGAAUUGAACCAGCAUCUCUUUUUUAAGCUUAGCCCUCUCUUUAUCUUUUCACUUUCAAUAGUUAAACACAUCAAUCAAUCCUUUAAAUUAUGAGAUAUGUAUGCAUUCAAAAUAAGCAUUUACCAUAAAUUAAAGAUAUCUUAUGUUAUCAGACUUGCUAUUAUAAAACAUGCUCAAGUUAGGGAAUUUAAUGAUAUUUUAAGUGCAAUAUAAUGAUAUAAAACCUUGAUAAAAAUGCACUUGUAAGUACUAAUCAAAUGGUGUGUGACAUUUCAUGUAAUUUUUUUUUAACUCUCUCAACCUUCUGAUGGCCUUAGUCUGUUGGUAAUUUCAUUAGUAAUUUGUUUAAUACUUUUUUUAAAAAAAUAAAACCAAAUAAACAUAACAUAAAAAAGAUUAAAAGAAAUAAAACUAAAAUAAAAACCAAAUAUUUAUUACAAAUUUUAAAAUUAUCAUUUUGAAUACAAUUCAUUUAGAGGUCAAAAGUUGAAGAAUGAGGAGGAAAAGGCAAAUUUUUGUCGAGACCGAGUGGGCGACGAGGUGGACCAUAUGUACCAUCGAUGUUUGACAACACCUCCACAUAUAAUCACCUAAGUUUGGCAAUCUCAACAUUAGGUCGUUCUGUAUUAGCAGUAAGCUAGGUCAUCUAAGCUUCAACUUGUUAUCGUAUAAUCAUUUAGAACUCUGGAGAUUAGAAGCUCGAACCCGAUUGUGAGGAACCAACGGUCGAUACACCACAACUCGUCCAUAUAUUCGCAACCAUAGUGUUUGAGAUACCAUAAACCUAAUUUCUAUCGAGUUCACCUGACGUUCCGGCCUCCAACCACAAAUCCAAAUUCAAUUUCGGAUGGGUCAAAUGAUUUUCUACAAUUGAGUGGUAUGUGUUUCUUGAAAAAAAAAAAACAAGAAGAAAAACCAGUCAACUAAAUUGAAAAAAUAAUAACUUCAUAAAAAAACUCUUGAAAUCCAAUUUACAAUGAACUUUUAAACAUGGCUAUCCACGAGCUAAUGCACCAUUUCUGAUGGUCAUCAUUCCGCAUGUGAGUUUGUACAAAAAAGCUUUAUUGGUCUUGGUUUGCGUCCAAGAACCAUAUUCUGCAAAAAAAAAAAUUGUUUUUAGUAAAAAAAAAGAUGUAAUAAAAAAGAGUCUUAUUAUCAAAAUUAACAAAACCACAUAACAUGGCGCAAAAAAAAGGGUCAUCAAACAAACAUAAUUAACCAACAAAAAUCUUAUUGUUAACCAUAAAGAAUCUAACCAAGAAUCCAUGAGUAGUCAAAACUCAAAAAACAUAGCAAAUAAACCGCCCCCCUAAAAAAAAAACCCUUAUCGUGGUUGUUGUUGUUGUUUUUACUCUAUUAAUCCAAGUCAGUGAGACUAGCACAAUUGUUUGCAAAGAUUAAAGAAAACAAACACUUAGGAGCAUCAUAAGAAAAAAAAUAAGCUUUGAAAACCUAAAAGUUGCAAGAUAUUUACUUAGUCUGUCAGUAAUUCAGUCGGUAUUUACAUUUUGUCUAUAAUUCAAUCGGUAUAUAAUAAUUUUUAAUUACAAGUGUUAUUUUUCUUAUCUAUUCAACCUGCAAAUAUAGUAAAAUCACAAAACAAUAACACCAUUUUUAUUCAUAAUAAUAAAAUCACAACAAUAAAUGUUUCAUCUUUGUUAAUAACAGUUUAUUGUAAAGAAACAACCAGAAAGAUUACAAUAAAGUUAAUUUCAUUACACAUUGACAUUUUACAAUUUAAUCAGAAUUGUCUUCUUCUUCUUCUUCUUCUUUAAUUUUAUCAUCACCAUGUCCAACAAAAUCUAUUUCAUUGAAUUGAUGCUCGUUGAUAUCAUCAUCUUCAUCAACUUUUGCAUGUCCAUUGGUUCUUAACACAUUAUUUAACUCCUCAAUGUUAACAUCAUUAAAAAUAUUUCUAGUGAUAUGAAAAUUUGAAUUUUCUUCUAAGUCGGUCGACAGAGAAACUCGAUAUGCAUAAACUAAUUCAUCCAUUUGAAAUACAUCGUCUCUCGCAUUUACUUUAUUAUUGCCUUCCUGAACAACAUGGACACGACCUCUGAGUUUGGUUUUCAUUAUUGAUAACCAUUCAACUUUAGAACAAUUCUUUCUAAAUGAAAGAGUGUAUGUGUAAUAAAUUUGUUGGCAUUACUUAGCAAAAAUAAAGACAUUGUCGAUGUUGUGAAGUUUAGCCUUUGUAUUAAUUUUGACCAAAAUAUAAUAUAUACUUUGAUCCCUCUAUCAGCGAUAUUAUACCAAUAACAUUUAAAUGAAAAGAACUUAGUUAAGCUCGUUAUGAUAUGUAGUUCAAUAACCUCUUCAAACUUCCUAUAACAAUCAACUUCAAACUCAUUAGAAGUUGAUCCCUUAACACAAACUCUAUUAUUAUAGGUCUUUUUACCUUGACCAUACUCUUUAGUAUGAAAGACAUAUUCAUUGUCAUAACUUCAUUUUUUACCCCCUACUUUUAUAAAAUUUUCCAAUAUACAAAAAAAUAAAAAAAUAUAUUCUUGAUGUAUUUUCAUCAUUGUUAACAUUUUCAGCGUUGCCUCAAAAGAAUUCAAAUUUUAAAUUUCUUUUCAACACGUUCAACUUUUAACGCGUUAUUUUCAAAAUUGUUGAUUUUUUCUCAUUGAGUUGGUGUUGAUGCUUCCUUUUUUUUAAAAUGAAAAUACAAAAAAAAAAACAAAAAAUAUUUGGACAGAAAUGACCAAAAUGAAAAGGAAGAAAACAAUGGACUAAAGUGAAUUUAUGUUGCUUGUUAGACUAAGUAAUCAGGAAAGAAAACAAGAUUUUCCACCUAUAAAAAGGUAGUUAUCCCACAUAAGAAAGGGGACAUUACAAGAAAUCUAAAGAAAACACCUACCAAAAAUAAAAAAACCAUAGCCCUCAUUUUUACAAAUCCUAGUUGCCAACCACUGGAGAUCUUUCAGCCAAAAAAAAUAUCAAUCUUGUGGCUCUCUUUUUUUGUUCAACUGACCCGAUGCCUCCUAUCCAAUGUCGUUUCGUAGUCAUGACUGCCAACAACGCAGUCUAAUGCCACCACCACAACCCACAUACUCUAGUUUUGACUGUCAAACCAACAACCCCUUCACCAACUGAUUCCUUUACCACCAGUCCCAACAACACCGUCCCCUCUUCCUAGCAACAGUGUCCUUCGAAGCGUGUCCUCACCGGAAACCCAACGACUGAAACCACUACACACCGUGACCUAACCGUGCACCUCCCAACACCCCACAUGCAACCAUCCUUUUCAACUAAGACUUGCCCACCACCCACAGCUCUUUCCACCUCUUUCUCUCGGCCUAGCACAACGACCUCCAAUGUGACCCCAGCCACUCUUCUCUUCCAUCCACGCUGACAACAGUAACAAAGUUUCAACAGCUCCCUCACUCAUAGUAGACCACAACCACCAAAGUAAAGCAUUUCCUUUAUAGCAGAACCGUCAGCCACUUGUAAAGGAGAAGAAAAAAGUGAAAAAAAAAUAUGAAGUAAAGAAAUUGAAAACGGAUUGCGUUUGUGUGAUUCAUUUUCUUUUACAGGUGAAUAUUGCUGAUAGUAUAUAAAGCAAGAGGAGAAGAAACACUUUUAGGGUGUGUUUGUUUCCUGGAAAGUGGUUUCCAGGAAACUACUUUCCAAACUUUCUUAUGUUUGUUUGUCAUUAGGAAAGUUGGUCAACGGAAAACACUUUCCUGUCAUAUGAAAAUUUGGCUUGAUUUCAAGGAAAGUGUUUUCCUUUUAUUUUGGGCGGAAAAUACUUUCCAGAAGUUGUGAAAAUUUUAAAAAUAUCAUAUUAUUUGCUGAUUAUGUCAAAUUUGGUCCUCAAACUUUUGAUUGCUAUAUAUUUUGUUUGAAUAUUUUUUUUUUCAAAUUCAUCCCUUAAAACUUGAUUUAAUUUGAUUUUUAUAUUAACUUUGGUUUUUAUUUUUAUGAUUGUUAUUUACUUUUCUCUUAUCAUUUUUUAAAUUGAAUUUUUUUUAUCUAUCAAAUUUGGUCCUUAUUUUUUUUAUUGUUACUUAUUUUAUUUAAAAUAAUUUAUGAAAUUGUAAUUAUUAUUAUUUUAAUUUCAUCAUCUUUCAAUUUUUAUAUCUCUUAGAUUUGAUCUCUAUUAUUUUGAUGAUCAUUAUUUAUUUUAUUUGAGAUAAUUUAUGAAAUUAGAUUUUUUCAAUUCUGUUCUCAUUCAACUUUUUAAUUUGUAAGAUUUGUUCCUUAUUAUUUUAAUAAACUUGAAAAAAAAUAAAACAUUAAUAAGCUAUUUUCUAUAACAUAACCAAACACUAGAAAGUGUUUUCCAACUCACUUUCCAUGAUACUACCAAACAUCAAAAAUUAAUUUACUUUCCCGGAAUUCAUUUUCCAAUUAAACUACUUUCCAAAAAGAAACUACUUUCCUACAAAUAAACAGGGCCUUAGAUCCAUCAUUUUUCUGCCUUCACCAGUGACGGCACGUGUGCUUACACGUAGCCAGUAGCGUGACACGUGAUACCAAUAUGCCGCCACUAUUCUUGCGAGUUUGGAGGCUUUCCACCUUUAAAAGAUCAAUUUUUGAAAAUUUUAAAUGCUUAAUAUGGGUGUUUAAACUAUUGUUGAAUUUUGAAUUUUAUGGUUUGUAAAAAUGUAAUUGUGAGGUGUGUGAGUAAAAACAUAGUAAAAAAGAGUGUGUGUGUGUGUGUGUUGCAUUUUUUUUUAUUACCUUUUAUUUUGCAUUAAAAAUAGGGAAAAGAUAAAAAACAAUUAAUUAAUCAAACGUUUUGAUUGCAUACAGUCAAAUCCUAAAAGUUUUCCAAGUAUAUUUUUAUAAAAAACAAAAAUGAAUCCUUCUCAUGUUUUAAAAUGAAAAAUGGAUAUUGUACCUAGUUUAUGAUUAUCCGUUAAGUUUUGGCAAAAAUAACAAAAACCAUUCACCAAUCAUUUUGUUCACUGUAUAUUUCAAGUGUUAAGGUUUAGCUGUAAACUUUAAUUUUGCUCAAUUUUACAAGCGUCUAUUUUUUAUUGUAUAAUUAAAUAAAAAAAUUAUUUCAAAAAAACAAAGUUAUUAAUUUUUCAAAUCGUAACUUUGGUAGGUGGGUUGAUUGAAAAUCUAGUUUCAUAAUUUGUUUCGGUUUGCUUUUUAUGGGGUUAUUAUGGUCUUAAACAAGCAUUCUGAUAUUAGGUUUGUGCUUGAUUUUGUAAGCGUGUUUUUUAUACUAUAAUUAAAUAAAAAAUAGUUUAAAAAAAGUUAUUAAACCUAGUGGAGUCUAUGAUCCAGGUUGCGGGAUUGACGAGUUAACUUGGAUUGAUUGAAAAUUAGCUUUAUGAUUUGUUUUGAUUUGUUUCCUAUGAGGUUAUUAUAUCUUCAAACAAAUAUCUUGGUAUUGAGUUAUUGCUCGGUUUUGCGAGCAAUUUUUUUUAUCAAUAUAUAAUUAAAUAAAUAAUAAUUUAAAAAAUUAUUAAACUUAGUUAGAGUUUAUGAUCCACGGGUCGAUCCAAUAUGUCGUUACUCGGUUUUGCGAACAAAUUUUUUUAUCAAUAUAUAAUUAAAUAAAAAAUAAUUUAAAAAAUUAUUAAACAUGUUGGAGUCUAUAAUCCAGAUCUUGGAUUUGAAGGAUUAAGUUAUAAAAUUAGAGUCGAUUCAAUAUAUCAUUGUCUUAAUAUAUAAAAAAAAUUAUUAUUUUGAUUUUUUAAAAAAAUUAAAUCAUGUUUUUACUAAUGAUGUAACUUGUUUUUUAAAAUUGCUAGUCAAUUAAUUAAUGUUAAAAUAGCUACCACAUAAUUUAAUAUAAAAUCUAAUAAAUCAUAGUCAAAAACAUUUUAAAAUUGACUUCUUGACUGUUAAAAAGUUUUUUUUGCAGUAUGAAUAUUUUUAAAUGUUUCAAAAACUUUGAGGUGCGUCGCGCGAAUUGGGGCUAUCUAUCUAGCAUAUAUCAAGCACCAUUGGCGCGUGGGCUUGAAAAGUAACAAAAACUCCAACAAGCAUUGAUCCCAAAGGAAGAAAGAAAGAAAGAUAAAGAUACUCACAGUACUUUGUGAUGGAAGCAACCCCCCUUCCCCUUCUCCUUCCCCUUCUCCUUCCCCUUCCCCUCCAUUUAUAAAUAUAAAAACUCCUCCCUCUAAACUCCCACUUGCUCCCCCCGUCGACAUCAAGUCUCUCUCUGUCCCUCUCACUCUUUAAAACACAAACACUUCAAUUCUCCCCCCUGGCGAUGCAAGGACUACGACAACGUUGCUCUGACGACGUCGAUCUUCUCGACCUCAGUUCCCCACUGAACUCCUCCUCGUCCUCUUCUUUAUCCAUCGACGAAGCAGAAUCCACGGAGACAAGAAUCCAACGGCUUAUAUCUGAGCACCCAGUUAUCAUUUUCUCUCGAUCUUCUUGUUGCAUGUGUCAUGUCAUGAAGAAACUCCUUGCCACCAUUGGUGUUCACCCUACUGUAAGAUCUAUGCCCUCCCUCCCGCGGCUGAAGACGGCUCAUUGGUGGCACCUGUGUUGGUGGCCUUGAGUCUCUUGUUGCUCUUCACCUGAGUGGACAUCUUGUGCCUAAGCUUGUUGAACUUGGUGUCUUGGCUUUCUCUUCUGGGUAUGGUAAUAAUAAUCAUAUCAUAUUAUCAUAAUAAUAUAAAAGGGUAAUCAUAUUAAUUUUAAAGCUUGUAAAAUUAAUUGAUAUGCACACAAACUAACUCGAACAUUGAUAUUAAUUAAAAAAAUAUAUAUAGGAACAACUCAAUUUAACUUCAAAUACAACUAAAGGAAACAAGAUUCGAGAUUGUGGAAAGAAACAGCACGAAUGGUGGAAACUAGGACUUGUCCUUUUUCCCUUUCCUUCUUAACUGGAAUUUAAAAGAGAGUAAAAAGGUGGUGCUUAGUCAUGCCUUAGACUACCAAGAAGAAGUUGUGUUUGUAUGGAUGAUCCAUCCCCAUGCAUGUAGAUUACUUGCUUCAUUCAUUUGCAGUAAACAAAACGAGGCAAUAUAUAUGAACAUCUACAAGUAAAUUAAAGAGGUUUUCAAUCCCUGCUUCUUGAUCAGAUGACUUGGCAGCGAUCUGUUCUUGAAGAGUUAAACUUAGCUGUGGCUUAACUGGACCACACGUACGAAAUAGAGUGAGCAAAGUCUUAAGAAACACAGCCCUUUUGCAUUAUUUUAUCUUGUUUAAUCUGUUAAAAGUCAAACAACAUAGAUAACAGGGGAUAAAAAAAAUUAAAUGGAUCUAAUUUAUAAUUUAUAAAAUAUCACCAUUAUAAAUCCAAAUCUGACCCAUCUAUGUAUAUUAAUUAUUUUAUUUUUAUUAAAUAAUUAAUAAUAAUAAAAUAUUAAAUAUUCAUAUAAAUAUUAAAAACCUAAUAAAUAGUUUUUUAAUUUUUUACUAGUUAAGUAAUCGACAAGAUAAAGCGUUGAUACCUAUUAUCAUCUGCUAUGCAAGGCUCAUGACUCGUGGCAUCGCUUCUCUUUAACCACCUGGCCUGACAGCCUGAGAUUACUUGCCAUCAUCGAUCAAUCCACUUCCUUGUCGGAGAUCGAAUUUUUUUUUAUUCAAAUAACAUUAACAUGGCAUCAUCCAUAGUCUUUAAAGUCGGUCUACUCCAUGUUUGGAUUUCAGGUUUUGAUCAGAUUAUUAAAUUUUAACCAGGUUGACUGGAUGGGCUAGAUCAAUAUUUAUUUAAAAAAAAAUUCAAAACAGCGUCGUUUUAUAAAAAAAAUAAAAGUCAACAGGUUGCAACCGGGUUUUUGAUCGGUUUUUGCCGAGUCACCGAGAUCAACCCGCCGGGUCGGCCGAGUUACAUCAGGUCAUGACUUUUCCUAUUUUUUCAUCAACCCGGUCCCGUUCCAGCCUCGGACCGGCCGGGUCCAGGGUCAACCCACUGAGUCGGGCCGGGUUUCAAAAAUAUAUCAUCAUCACUCAUCAUGGCUGACCACAUAUAAAACACCACCUUGUAAACAUCUCGCUGAAUAAAAUAUAUAUGUUCCCUCUUCAUCUCUAUUUUUAAACAAAAUUCUUGGGCCAUAAUAAUGUUCUUGUUGAUAUAAUAUUUCGUUAAGAACAAGACAAUUUCAUUAAACCAAAUAAUAUCAUUUUAUAAUGUAAUACUAGAUUUAAAUAAAAUUAUCAUAUAAAAAUUGAAUUAUAAAAUAUAAAAUAAUACAUUUAAAUAAUAACUUAAUGUACAUUUAUUCUAGACAAAUUACUCUUUUAGCAAACAUGUUAUGGAGGCUUUAUAAAAAUAGGAGGGAAAACAUCUAAGGAAAAAAAAUUACCUAAGUAUUCUAUAGUAAAUUAAUGUAUUUUACACUCUACUUUUAUUAUUUAAAAAAUUACAAAAAAAGUAUCAUAGUCAACAAAAAAAAUUUAUGUAUUUUUAUUUGAUUCCAAAUAAUUAUUAUUAGUUUAACUCUUGUAUUUUCGUUACGGGUUGGAUCUAAAUUUUUUGAAACAUAAAAAAUUAAUAUCUAGAUUGUUAUAAAUUUAUUGGCGUUAUUAUUAAACUCGGUAUAAUAGUUUAAACUUUAAAAAUCUCGAGUCAACUCUUUGAUUAAUAUUUAGCGUCAACCCACUAAACUCGAGUUAUGAACUCUACUAGGUUGAAUUAUUUUUUUAUUUUAUUAUAUGAUAAAAAAUAUAAAAAUUAAUUUACCAUCAAUUAAUCCAAUAUAAAAGGAUAAGAUUCAAUAAAUAAAAAAUAUCACUAAAUAAUAGAAUUGUAAAAAAAAAAGAUAACAAACAGUUAGACAUGUGAGUUUGAGGGAGGCACACGUGCCUUGCCCAAUAUUGUUUUUCUUUUUAUAAGGGGUGGACCUUUUCUUAGAAAAAAACAAAAAUGAUAGAUAUGUCAUAAACUAAUUUUGGGUUGCAAAAUUUUUCUUAUUUUUUCAAGAAAAUACUUUCUAUAAGAAAGAAACCCAUAAAAAAUUCAAAAUUAUUUUGGGUUACAAACAGACAUUUAUGUAAUUCAUAGUUGGUUAGAACACCAUGUUGAUAGAUAAUUUAGGGUUUGACUGAAGAAAAUUAAUUGAAACUAGUCAAAAUUGCAUAAAUUAGAAGAUUAAGGAUCAAAAUGGACAAGGUGAAAAAGUCUAGGAGUCCAAUUCUAUCAAUCAAGGACUUAAUUGAAAGAGAUUGAAACUUGAAAGGGCUUAAUUGAUCUAAUCCAAUCAAGGGUUUAAUUGAAAAAAAUCAAGUUUGGGAAUCAAUUUGGAUAAAAUUAUAAGAAUUAAUAGUCCAAGGAUCAAAGUGUAAUAGGCAUUGAAAGUGAAGGAGCUUGAUUGAAGGGUCUGUUUGAGAGUGUAGUAGAGGUUGCUUUUCAAUUUGCUUUUUGCUCAGAAAUGCAUUAAAUAAUAUUUUUUUAAAAAUUUAUUUUUAAUAUCAGCAUAUCAAAAUGAUUUAAAAGAAUAAAAAAAAUUAAUUUGAAGCAAAAUAAAAUAAAAUUCAAAAUUUUUCAGAAGCGUUGUUCAACCGUAUUUUCAAACACACCCUUAAUCAGGGAUGAAAUUGGAAGAAUUGAAAGUUUGAAGGCUCAAUUAAGAGCCAAAAUAAGCAAAUCAGAAACUUAUGACCAUUAUAUAAGGCACAUGGAAGUUCAGGGGUUUAAUUGAAGAAGAUCGAGGGUGAAAAUGCAAAGAUUCUUGAAAAUAGUGCCAAUUUAGAGCUCAAUUGCAAGAUUUUUAAAAUCAAGAAUCAAAAUUAAAAAGAGGCUGUAAUCGAAACCGUAAUUUGUACCCCUCUUGGAUGACAUGAUGUAUGGUUUAUCGGAUGUCAAGUUGUUCGUUCAACCCUCAACUCAGAUGACUUGUCGUUGAAGGUAACCUUAAUUUAGAGGGCUAAGAAAUGACGUGUCUUCACAACCCGGAUUUUUUGCCAUAUCCCGAAUGACCUGUCGUUCACUUGAGAGGGUUUGAAAAUGGCACUGUUUCAUUAAUGUCUACUAUUCAUUUUCUCCCACUCCUAUUCAAGUUUAAACCCGAGAGCAUGCAAGGGUCUACAGCAAUCUUUCAAGCCUAAUUGGUUCUCCAUGUUUAUCCUACCAAUCAACGGUCCUAAUCCUCCAAUUCCCAACCUUUUCCUUUCCCCUCAAGACUCUCCACAAGAUACAACAAAACCCAAACCCAACCAACCAUAUAUUCUUACCAAAAGCAAUACAAACAUAACAGUACCCUACUGUGUCAACUCUCAAAACCAAACAAAAGGACACCCUUAGCUGCCACUAAUGGUGUUGAUCCCCUCCAAAGAAUAAAGAGUUGAGGUCCCUCCAGCUCAUGAACCCUAGAACCCUCCUUUUUCUCCUAUAAAACAACACCAAAACCCUACCUAGAAGAGAUGACUUAGACAAGAAACCCUAUCUUUCAAGCCCUAGCAGCCACCAUCUCUGCAACCAUAAAACCACCAUAGGAGAGAGCAGAACAAAAGGAAAAGGAAGCAACAAGAAGAAAAAGAAACUACAGAGAGCUGAGAGAGGGAAUACAAUAGAGAGAGAAGAAAACAAAAGGGAGAAGAAGGCAGAAGCAAGAAGGAGAAGCCUAGUGACAUAUGGUACGUAGUGCAAGUGUAAUACUAAGCUGUCAUUUUAGUUUUCCUUGUUUUCAACCUGGCUAAAUCUUUUUUGGUUCUUCUUUCUGUUUUUGUUCCUUUUAUGAUCUAUUUUCUUAUCACAUAUGGUAAGUCUAUGAGUGCUUGCUGUUUAUGUUAAGCUUUAAGUCCAGAAUGAUUAGUUUCCUUUUUUGUAGUUUAAUCUUGCUGGUGAGUUAGGUUGUGGGGUGGGAAAGUUUGUUCCUCGGCUUUUCUAUGGUUUAAAGUCAAUUUUCCUAGGAUGGCCAUGGAGCUUUCCUUUCUCCUUUUGGUUAUGGUAAGAGGUACGUAUGUCACUACCAGAAAAUCGGAGAACACCAACGGAAUUACCGGCGGAAUUUUUUCGUCGGAAAUAUUUAAUGACGGAAUUAAUUCCGUCUCAAAAGCUGUCGGUAUUUACCGACAGAAUUAUUCCAUCGGUAUAUACCGACGGUAUCGCCGACGGAGAGAAACUUUUUUUGAAAUUUGCAACAGCGUGAUGACGUGGAUUUUUUUCAGACGAAUUUACCGACGGAAAUACCGAGGGUUUCAAACCCGGAUAGCUGUUCAGCGACGUGUCGCUUCCACCGGCGGAAUCACCGACGGAAAGUUUUCGUCGGUGAGUCCGUCGGUAAAAGCCAGUACAUACUGACUCUGUCGACACUCUCUUCCUUUGUUUCUCCUUCUUCUUCCCAUUUUUCUUCCCCAUCCCACAUCUCCCCUCCCAAACUGCAGCCAACCACCCAUCCCAACUCUCCCCUCUUCUCAACACAAGCACUCAAGUUUUUUAUAUUUUUGUACGUGGUCACAACAUCCGUUAAUUCUUGUGGAUUUUAUCAUUUUUUGUAAGUAAAUUUAUCCUUUUUAGUUUUAACUCUUAAAUGUGAAUUUUAUUGUUUUUUUAGUAUAUGUAUUUUGUUAAAGAAAGUUGUUGUAUGAAUGUAUAAUUUUGUAGUUGUUAUAGUUUGUUUUAGAUUUUGUCAAAUUAUAUUUGUUUGUAAAUUGUUGAAAUUUUGCUUGAAUUACACCGAAUUAUAUGUGUUGUGAUGAAAUAAAUAAUAGCUUGUUUAACGGGUCUGUUUUAAUUGUUAUCAAUUAUAUUGCGAAGUUGUGAUUUCUGUAAAUUUAUAUAUGUAUAAAUUUGUAUGUAUGAACGUUGAUAGUUGAUAAUUGAUAAUGAAUAUUUAACAUAAGAAACCAAUAUUUUUUUUUGAUGUUUUAUAGAGAUUCAAUAGAAGUCAUGGAUGAUCGUUCAUGGAUGUAUCGGGACUUACCCCAAGGAUUGCGGAGGAUGGAUUAUUGUAACGGUGUGCAGGGUUUUAUUAAUUUCGCAACAUCUAUCCUGAGAAAUUUUACUGAUGGCGGUAUUAGGUGUCCAUGCAGGAAGUGUAAAAAUUUAAAGUUUCUGCAUCAAGAUGUUGUAACGAUGCAUCUUCUAACCAAAGGAUUCAUGCAGGAUUACCUAUGUUGGUAUGCACACGGAGAACUAUUUGUUCCUAAUGAGAGCAUGGUUGAAAGGAUGGUCGGGUCAACUUCUAGUGCUAUCAACAUGCAUGAAGUUGGAAAUGAGAACAGUAAUCCUUACAGGAAUAUGGUUAUGGAUGCAAUGAGAAUGAGUGAAGGUAAUGUCAGUGAAUUUCCAAACGUAGAAGAAGAACCUAAUGCAGAUGCAUCAAGGUUUUUUGAUCUGUUGAAAGAUUCUGACGAGCCAUUAUGGGAUGGCUGCACGAACCACAGUAAAUUAUCGGCCGUAGCACAGGUGUUCACCAUCAAGUCAGACCACGGGUUGAGUGAGGCCGGUUAUGACAAGAUUAUCGAAUGGACGAGAAGCAUUUUACCUAAAGGGAACAGGCUGAAAGAGAACUUCUAUGCUGCCAAGUCCAUGAUGAAACCCCUCGGUUUAGGAUACCAGAAAAUUGACAUGUGCCCUAACUUCUGCAUGUUAUACUACCUUGAAAAUACUGAGCUGACCGAGUGCAUGACAUGCGCGCAUUCCCGUUACAAACCCAGAACUGGAAGAGUAAAGACUCUCGUGGCAUAUAAAAAACUUAAAUACUUCACAAUCACACCUAGACUGCAGAGGUUAUUCAUGUCACCAAGGACUGUUGAGCACAUGACAUGGCACCAAUCACAUCAUGUUGUUGAUGGAGUGAUGGUGCAUCCUUCUAACAGUGAAGCCUGGAAACACUUUAACAGUGUGCAUCCUCACUUUUCAGCUGAAUCAAGGAACGUGCAUCUUGGGUUGUGUACAGACGAAUUCAACCCAUUUGGGUCAUUUGUUGCUCCUUAUUCUUGUUGGCCAGUCAUAUUGACAGUUUAUAACUUGCCACCGGGGAUGUGUAUGAGGCCGGAGUUCAUGUUUCUAUCUAUGGUCAUACCAGGUCCGAGCAGUCCGGGGCGAAAUAAAGAUGUUUGUCUUCGUCCGUUGAUUGAUGAGUUGAUGCAGUUGUGGUCCUCUAGAGCUUUGACUUAUGACAUCUCGAGGAAACAGAAUUUUGUUAUGAGAGCGGCUUUGAUGUGGACUAUCAAUGAUUUCCCAGCUUAUGGAAUGGUUUCUGGUUGGAGCACGUGUAGAAAGCUAGCAUGUCCAUACUGUAUGGAGAACAACAAGGCAUUCACGCUAACAAACGGGGGUAAAGCUUCUUUUUUUUACUAUCACCGUCGCUUCUUGCCGCCGAAUCACGGGUACAGAAAGAACAAGAAGGAUUUUUUUGUUGGCAGAGUUGAAAAGGAUGUUGCACCCCCGAGUCUUUCCGGUGAAGAAUUGCUUGAUGUUGUUUCAAAGUACGGUGACAUUGUGUUUAGUCUCCAAUCAGGUAAGCAGAAGUUUCCUGGUUUUGGUUUGACCCAUAACUGGGUGAAGCGAAGUAUAUUUUGGGAGCUUUCUUAUUGGAAGACCAAUCUUCUCCGCCUAACCUUGACGUCAUGCACAUUGAAAAGAACGUGUUUGAGAAUAUUUUCAACACCGUCAUAGAUGUGAAGGGGAAGACAAAGGAUAACAUCAAGGCUAGAUUGGAUGUAGCGUUGUUAUGUAACCGUAACAAUAUGGAGUUGGUUUAUGAUGGGUCACGGGUCGCAAAACCAAGAACAAGCUUCGUGUUAGAGAAAAACGCACAACUACUAGUCUACAAAUGGCUUAAGAUUCUGCGUUUCCCCGAUGGACAUGCCUCAAACAUAUCAAGGCUGGUUAAUACCGAGAAAUGCAGAUUAUAUGGAAUGAAGAGUCAUGACUGCCAUGUGUUUAUGCAAACACUUAUCCCAUUAAGCUUUUCGUGAUUUGUUACCAAAGGGGAUAUGUGAUGCACUAACGGAGAUCAGUCAUUUUUUCAGAGAUAUAUGCUCUAGCAAGUUGAAUGUUGAUCACAUUGAGAGGCUUGAAACGAAUAUCGUGGAUACAAUAUGCAAACUUGAGAUGAUAUUCCCUCCAUCAUUUUUUGACUCAAUGGAGCAUCUACCCGUACAUUUACCGUUUGAGGUAAAAGUUGGAGGACCGGUCCAGUACAGAUGGAUGUAUCCAUUCGAGAGGUUAGAUAUUACAAUUGCUAUGUAAUUCAUAAUUAAAUGUUUUUUUUGUUUUUUUUAUUGAUAAUUUUUUAUUAUAUAUAUAUAUAUAUAUAUAUGCAGAUACUUGUUCAAUCUUAAAAAAAGGGUUAAGAACAAGGCGCAUGUUGAGGCGUCAAUAUGUGAGGCCUAUAUUGUUGAGGAGAUCUCAACAUUUAUCUCAUACUAUUUCGAACCUCAUUUGAGAACGAGGAUCAACCGUGUUCCACGGCAUGAUGAUGGUGGUGAAAUGCCUUCAAGUGAGAACUUGUCAAUAUUCUCGAAUCCUGGACGACCCACGCCUAAAAAUGUCGUGAGGGGAAGAUAUUUGUCUAAAAUAGAGUUCAGACAAGCACACAAUUAUAUCUUAUUUAACUGUGAUGAGCUGAGACCUUUUAUCAAGUAAGUAGAUGUUCAACAUAAACUUUGUCAAGAGUGUACUAUUUAUGUUUUGUGAUACCAUAAACUCAUAUAAUUUGAAACAACCUUGCAGGCAACAUCGACGAUACUUACUAUCCAAUAACUCACAGCUGAUCGAAUCCCAGAUCUUUCAAUUACAAGAUGAACAAUUUGCCACAUGGUUUAGAACACAUGUAAGUCCUAUCACAAACUCAUAAUCUAUUGCAAUGUAAUUCACUGUACGUCAAUAUAUAUUACAUAAUAUAUGUUUAUUGAUUGUUGUUGUAUUUAAUAUACAAGGUUUAUCAAAUGGGAGUUAAUGUUGUUAUUUCACUGUUUUUACUAAGCCUGGGCCCUGAAAGAAAAGUCAAGUGCUAUAACAGGUAUUUUGUCAAUGGAUAUAUCUUUCAUACUGAAGAAUACGGGCAUGGAAGAAAGACAUACAACAGUGGGGUUUGUAUUAAGGGAUCAACUUCUAGUGAGUUUAAAGUUGACUACUACGGUAGAUUGAAAGAGGUCAUCGAACUGCAAUAUCAUAGCGAGCAGAAUAAAGUGUUUUUAUUCAAAUGCUAUUGGUAUGACACAACUGACAGAGGAAUCAGAGUAGAUCCUCACUAUGGUCUCGUUGAAAUCAACUCAAAAGCUAGACACCGCAACGUAAACGACAUCUUUGUUUUCGCAAAGCAAUGCCAACAAGUUUAUUACACAUACACCCUUUCCUUUAAAAAGGACCGAUCAAGAGUUGAUUAGUUAUCCGUUUUAAAAACAAAACUCAUGGGUCGUGUCGAGGUUGUUCAGGAUGAGAACGAAGACACAAGUGUGAUAGAUGAAGUCUUUCAAGCUAGUGAGUUGGUUGAACCAUACCGAGUUGCUCCUUCGAUUGACUUAGAAGAAAAUUCAAAUUUUCUUGUUUUCGACGAUAGUCUUGUUGAUGUUGACGCAGAGGAGUUGAAUGUCGUUUUGAGCUCUACUAGUGCAGUAGAGAAUGUUGAUGAAGAAGAUGAUAACCACAUUGAAGAGUGCGAUGAAGCGGAUGAUAACAAUUCAAUUGAGGACGAAGAUGAAAAUUUUGACUAAACAUGCUGUAAAACCUUAUUUUUAUAAUGUAAUAUUUUGGAACAUGAAAUAUUUAUUCUUUUUUAAUUGUCAGCUCAUGUUAUUGUGUUGUGUGUGAUCUAAGUGUGCAGGAGGAUACACAAAAAUGCAGGGCGAAGCUGUAGAAAUAUUGACUGUUUCACCAACGGAAUGGGGAAAUUUCCGACAGGUACACCGACGGCCUAGUGCCGUCGGUAUUUUAAAGAGAGUUGGAAAAAAAUUACGGACUUGUGCCACAAUUUUCGACGGAAAUCACCGACGGAAUGGGUAAAUUUCUAACGGGUACACCGACGGCCUAAUGCCGUCGGUAUUUUACAAAGAGUUGGAAAAAAAUUAUGGACUAGUGCCCCAAUUUCUGACGAAAAUCACCGACGGAUAUUACACAUCCCGAAGCGCCUAUCACCGACGAAAAUCGCACAUCCCGAAGCGCACGCCUGUUAGAGGCACGAUUACCGACGGAACAAUUUCCGACAGAACUUACCGUCGGAAUUACCGACGGAUCGAAAAAAAGAGGCGGCAUUUUUGAAAUUUUUGGUGCGCAUUUCAACUUAUUUCCGUCGGAAUUACCGACAGAAUUGAAUGCCACCGACAACAAUUAAUGUUCUGUCGGUAAUUCCGAUGGAAAUAUUGCUAUAUAAACCCCUCCUCCCUUCAUUUUGUUCAUUUUUUCUCUUCUCUUCAUCUCCAUUUCUCUUCUCCUCUCCAUUUCUCUUCAUCUCCAUUUCUCUUCUCCUCUUCAUCUACAUAUUAAAAGGUAUGUAUUCUUUUUUCUUUAUCUUUGUAUUUUUUUUAUUUUAAUUAUGAUUAUUUUUUUGGUGUUCUUUGUUUUGUGUAUUGUUUAUAGAUAAAAUCUAAAAAUUAACACACUAUUAAGGUAAGCAUUUUUUAUUCCGAAAUUUGUUUUGAAUUAAUGUAUUGUUUUUUUAGUUUUGUGUAUUGUUUGUUUUGUAUUUAGGUUGUUUUGUUUAGUGUUAUUUAGUUUUUCAUUUUAUUUAUUAAUUUUAGGAUAUUAUUGUUUGUAUUGAAAUAAUUGUUAUUGUUGAAUUAAUGUUAUAAAUGUGAAUUGAUAUAUAGAAUUAAAUGUAAUUAGUUUAUAUUAAUUUUAGGAUAUUAUUGUUUGUAUUGGAAUAAUUGUUAUUGUUGAGUUAAUGUUAUAAAUGUGAAUUGAUAUAUAGAAUUAAAUGUAAUUAGUUUAUAUUAAUUUUAGGAUAUUAUUGUUUGUGUUGAAUUAAUGUUAUAAAUGUGAAUUGAUAUAUAGAAUUAAAUGUAAUUAGUUUAUAUUAAUUUUAGGAUAUUAUUGUUUGUAUUGGAAUAAUUGUUAUUGUUGAGUUAAUGUUAUAAAUGUGAAUUUAUGUUGUUUCUUAUUUUGAUUAAUUUUAAUUGUUAUUUAUGAAUUUGUAUUGAUGGUAGUUGAAAAUAUAUAGAUGUUGAAUUUCUAUAGAUGUUAGGUUGUAUAUAGUUGAUUUUGCAAUAUUUUUGUAAUUAUCAAUAUUUGUAGGUAUGAAAAUCGUGGGUAGUCUCUAAUAUAAGGGAGGUGCUGUCGAAUUUUUUUUAAUGAUUGAAUUGGUAUAGAUAUUAGGUUGUAUAUAUGAUGUUGGUGGAGAUUAUAUGGAUUGUGGUUAUUGUAAAGAUUGCAGGUUUGAAAACUGUGGGUAGUCUCCAAUAUAGGGGAGGUGCUGUCGAAUUUUUUUUAAAAUAAUCAAAGUUAAUUUAUGUAAUAAUUCAUAUAUAUUUGUGUAGAUGCGUCGAAUGAAAUCUACAGCAGACGGUUGCACAUAGUUCUUCUAGCAGCGAGGAGGACAUCUCCUUAGGUGCUGAUCACGGCGAUGCAUCUGCGCCACCGUGUGAUGCUGCCUCUUCUAGCGCGGUUUCACAGCGCAGAAGCGGUGUGCCUUCACAGCGGGGUCAAUUCACCCGCAAGUACCAGGCACAAUGGAAGGAUGACCUCUCAAUGUAAGUUUGUUUAUGUUUUAUUUUUUUUUAAUACUUAUAACAUAAUUUAUGAACAACUAAUUAAUUUUUUAUUAUUUAAUUUCAGGUUCACAAACAUUGAGGCUGCCAGGACAAUUACAUUGGCGUUGAAAUCAUCGAUGGAGAUUCCAUUGUUUCAAUGGAGUCAGGUCUCCAGACAUCCUGAGUGAAGACCUAAUAUCAAUGCCUGGUUUCGGCAAUUUCAGGUAGGUGUUAAUUUUUGAUAUUUCCAGUUUAUUUUUAAUAAAUAAUUUUUGUAAUUUUAUAUCUUGUACUAUUUUUAUUUUCAAUGAAUUAUUUAUAUAUACAGAAUAAAUUUGAGUGGGAUAGCGCGGACAACAAUGUUGUCAGGAGAGUAUGGGAGAAUCACGUGGCAACUAGGUAACAUCGAAAAUAAUAUUUAUUUUUGAUUUAUAAUUUUAUGUUCUAAAUUCUAAUUAGUUACUAUGGAAGUAGGUUGCGUGAUUUUUGAUAUGACACCCAAAAAAAGGCGAAAAGAUAUGCGAGGGACAACAAUCUUGAAGGUUGGAAUGAGGUGGCGAUUUGGCGGGAAUUUAAACCGCCAUUCAUCUCGGGAGAUAUAUGGGCGGCAUAUAUUGAGCACGUGAUGUCUGAGCGGUUCUCACGGCGCUCACAAUCCGAAGCCGUCAACCGGAACCGGCAAAUUCAUGGUUCAGUGACCACGCACACCGGCGGCUCCGUCCCGUUCAGCGCACAUGUGAAGCGGAUGGUAAGAUUAAUUUAAAUAAAAUAUAUCGUUAAUUAAUUUAUUGUUGCUUAUAAAUAUAUUUAACUUGCAAUCUUUUUUUUCCUUACAGGCUACGUCUCUUGGACGUGAGCCGAGUCCAAUGGAGCUAUUUGUAGAGACGCACGAUCGGAGUCAAGACCGCCAAAAGGGGGUGCAGCAGUACGUGGACAACCGUGCUCAGCAUUUUGUGGUAUGUUCGAUCAAUCAUUUUAUUUCGUAAGUUAUUAUUUUCUUGAAUUGAAUAUGAUGAUUUUAAAAAAAAAAAUUCAAGAGACCUAUAAUAGCCGGUUGAGAGAGAGAUAUGGGGACGAUCCUUUGACCCAACCAGAUUUCGAUCUGGAUUUGUGGAUGAAGGUCGGAUCAUCUGGUGGACCCGAUAAAAAUCGGGUCUACGGGCUCUCCAACACUACGGCCGAAAAAUUACGGUCGACCGGUAGUGUCUCAACCGUUGGGAGCUCUCCAUCAGUAUCGAGCACCCAGUCAGAGGAGUUUUUAGCCUUGAAACGACAAUAUGAACACCUCUCGACGAAUUAUGCUCAGCUCCAUCAAAUGGUCAUGGAGAUUAGAUUAAAGAUGGGUGAUGAUCCAUGAGCUACUUCUUUUUGGCCGUACGGCCCCGGCAACAACCAACCUCCUCCUCCUCCUUCUCCAGCUCCGCCGCUAUUUUAAUUAGUUUAAUUUUGUUUUUUAAAACAUUAAAUUUGUAAUGAAUAUUUUGAUGAAUAUUAUUUAACGUCAUUUUUAAUGUUUAAUGCAAAUUUAUUUGGUUAUUAAGUUUUUUAACUGUUAAUAAAUAGAGACAAUAUUUGCUAACUAUUAUUUGUAACAUUUUAUCAAGAAUCAACUUUUAUCAAGAAUCAACUUUUAUUUAAAAUAUUUGUAACACAAUUUGGAUUACAAGACAAAUUUGCUAACUAAGACUUAAAAUAAUAUAUUAAAUUGAUUUAUUAUUUAUAUAAAUAGUUAAACUAAUCUCAAUAAUUUAGUUGUUCUGAUAAAUAGUUAUAAUCAUAGUGUUUGUAAAAUAUCACGAGUUUAUUUUUUAAAAUACUUUUUUUCUUUAUAUAUAAUAAUUAAAAUAAAUAUUUUUAAUAAUCAUAAUAUUUUAAAUUAUGAGAAAAUGUGUUUUUUAACCAAAAUUUCAUUUUUGUUAUGGCUGAGGUUUGUUUUGGACUUCAAGAGGCGGCACAACAAUAACAUAUUCGGAUGAUUCUUUUCAAGUAAAAAUUUUAUGCAACAAUUAUUUCUUCUACUGUGACACAUUAAAAUUAAAAAAAAAAAAAAGAAGAAGAAGAAGAAGAAGAAAGUUUCAGGCUUAGCCCGAUUUGGUUAUAGGCUUAUAGCAUUUGAACCAGCCCAAAGUAUACAAAGAAUUAGGGUUAGGGGUUAGGGCUUUGAUUUUCUUUUAGACGGGGAGAAAUCUUGUAACUAUAAAUACAACAAUUAUAGUUCCUCACCGCCUCCCUAGACCCUAACUGAGUUCUACAGCGAACAGAAUGGUUCACGUCUCCUUUUAUAGGAACUGUGAGUUGCCUCUCAAUCCUUUUUUUUUUUUAACCUUUUCACUAUAAUUUCAACAUAGUUUGUAUUCUAAUCAUUUUCUAUCUUCUUUUCUUUGUAAACUAUAAAGUAAGUGAAACAUGGAAAAUUUGAUGCGCAUUAUUUUAUUUAGAAUCCAAAAAAUUCAGCUUCCAUAUCUCUGUCCUCAAUAGAGUUUAGCAUCUGAGAUUUGCAUUUUGAUCUUGAUUUGAUGAUUUGAAUGUACUUGGUGUACCACUAGAGUUUGGCGUCUGGAUUUUGAAUAAUAGAAGUGAGAUAUUUGUUUUUCGUUUUCAUAUAGAUGGGAAAACUUUUAAGAAGCCAAGGCGUCCUUAUGAGAAGGAACGUUUGGAUGCCGAGCUGAAGCUUGUCGGAGAGUAUGGGCUCCGUGCCAAGAGGGAACUCUGGAGGGUUCAGUAUGCUUUGAGUCGCAUUCGUAAUGCUGCCAGAAUGCUUCUCACCCUUGACGAGAAGAACCAGCGCCGUAUUUUUGAGGGUGAGGCGCUUUUGAGGAGGAUGAAUAGGUAUGGGCUUUUGGAAGAGAGCCAGAACAAGCUCGAUUAUGUGUUGGCUCUCACCGUGGAAAACUUUCUCGAGCGCCGCCUCCAGACUCUUGUUUUCAAGGCUGGUAUGGCUAAGUCCAUCCACCAUGCCAGAGUGCUCAUCAAACAGAGGCACAUUAGGUAUACAUAAUAAAUUCUUAUGCUUACUAAGCUGUUAAUCGAUGCAAGUUAAAAUUCUGGAUGAAAGACACAAUACAUUGGCAAUUAAAGUUUCGCCUCUUUGAUAUUGAUUGUUUUUCCUGUUUGUCUAAACUUUGGGUGCUUUUCUUUCCUUUUUUUGGCUGUAAAAUCUUGUGAUUUCAGAACUUGAGAAGUCUCACCUCGAAUGUAGUUAUUUCACUCUUUUAGAUUCUAUAUUUUGAAGUUUUGCCUCUGAUUGAUAUCUAUUUUGGCCCUGCAGGGUUGGGAGGCAGGUGGUCAAUAUUCCAUCCUUCAUGGUGAGAGUUGACUCGCAGAAGCACAUUGAUUUCUCACUGACAAGCCCCUUUGGUGGUGGACGCCCUGGUAGAGUGAAGCGAAAGAACCAGAAGGCUGCUUCCAAGAAGGCUGCUGGUGGAGAUGGAGAUGAAGAGGAUGAAGAAUGAGCUGUAAUGUUUAGUGAUAGUGAUUUUCAUUUAAUGUUAUAAAUUUGGUUAAUAAAAAGGAAAAGGAAGCAACAAGAAGAAAAAGAAACUACAAUAAGAGAGAGCUGAGAGAGGGAAUACAAUAGAGAGAGAAGAACACAAAAGGGAGAAGAAGGCAGAAGCAAGAAGGAGAAGCCUAGCGACAUAUGGUAGUGCAAGUAUAACACUAAGCUGUCAUUUUAGUUUUCCUUGUUUUCAACCUGGCUAAAUCUUUUUUGGUUCUUCUUUCUGUUUUUGUUCCUUUUAUGAUCUAUUUUCUUAUCACAUAUGGUAAGUCUAUGAGUGCUUGCUGUUUAUGUUAAGCUUUAAGUCCAGAAUGAUUAG